UACGGAGGGAGCAAGCGUUACUCGGAAUUAUUGGGCGUAAAGGGCGCGUAGGCGAUUUGAAAAGUCUUGUGUGAAAGCCCCGAGCUUAACUCGGGAAGUGCACAAGAAACUGUUGAAUUUGAGUUCCGGAGAGGAAGGCAGAAUUCCCGGUGUAGCGGUGAAAUGCGUAGAUAUCGGGAGGAUUACCAGUGGCGAAGGCGGCCUUCUGGACGGAUACUGACGCUGAGGCGCGAAAGCCAGGGGAGCAAACGGG
rnacentral:rRNA from 1 species